rnacentral:rRNA from 1 species
UGGGGAAUUUUGGACAAUGGGCGCAAGCCUGAUCCAGCCGUGCCGCGUGCAGGAUGAAGGCCUUCGGGUUGUAAACUGCUUUUGUACGGAACGAAAAGGUGCCUUCUAAUAAAGGGCGCUCAUGACGGUACCGUAAGAAUAAGCACCGGCUAACUACGUGCCAGCAGCCGCGGUAAUACGUAGGGACCAAGCGUUGUUCGGAUUUACUGGGCGUAAAGGGCGCGUAGGCGGCAAUUCAAGUCAGCUGUGAAAUCUCUGGGCUUAACCCGGAACGGCCAGCUGAUACUGCUUUGCUAGAGUGCGGAAGGGGCAAUCGGAAUUCUUGGUGUAGCGGUAAAAUGCGUAGAUAUCAAGAGGAACACCUGAGGUGAAGACGGGUUGCUGGGCCGACACUGACGCUGAGGCGCGAAAGCCAGGGGAGCAAACG